ACACGUAGGGGGCGAGCGUUGUUCGGAAUCAUUGGGCGUAAAGGGCGUGCAGGCGGUCCUGCAAGUCCGGCGUGAAAGACCCCGGCCCAACCGGGGGGACGCGCUGGAAACUGCAGGGCUUGAGUACAGGAGGGGAUGCCGGAAGUUCCGGGGUAGGGGUGAAAUCUGUAGAUAUCUGGAAGAACACCAAUGGCGAAGGCAGGCAUCUGGCCAUGUACUGACGCUGAGACGCGAAGGUGCGGGGAGCAAACAGGUUUAGAUACCCUGGUAGUCCGCACAGUAAACGAUGUGCACCAGGUGGCGGGGGGUCGACCCCCGGUACCGUAGCUAACGCAUUAAGUGCACCGCCUGGGGAGUAUGCUCGCAAGGGUGAAACUCAAAGGAAUUGACGGGG
rnacentral:rRNA from 1 species